GAACUAGUGGCCUAGUGGUUAGAGCAUCCACCUUCGAUGCGGAGGUCAUGGUUUGAACCUUGGCUAAUUAA